GCAUCUGAUCACACGCUCCUGAAGGUGCUCAGUGUUGUCCGAUCUUGGAAACUAAGCAGGUAACGCCUGAAUGGAACACAGCCUGCAAUUUCAGGGCACUGUAGGCU
rnacentral:rRNA from 1 species